GACGAACGCUGGCGGCGUGCUUAACACAUGCAAGUCGAACGGUAAGGCCCUUCGGGGUACACGAGUGGCGAACGGGUGAGUAACACGUGGGUGAUCUGCCCUGCACUUUGGGAUAAGCCUGGGAAACUGGGUCUAUACCGGAUAGGACUCCUGCCUGCAUGGGUGGGGGUGGAAAGCUUUUGCGGUGUGGGAUGGGCCCGCGGCCUAUCAGCUUGUUGGUGGGGUGAUGGCCUACCAAGGCGACGACGGGUAGCCGGCCUGAGAGGGUGACCGGCCACACUGGGACUGAGAUACGGCCCAGACUCCUACGGGAGGCAGCAGUGGGGAAUAUUGCACAAUGGGCGCAAGCCUGAUGCAGCGACGCCGCGUGAGGGAUGACGGCCUUCGGGUUGUAAACCUCUUUCAGCACAGACGAAGCGCAAGUGACGGUAUGUGCAGAAGAAGGACCGGCCAACUACGUGCCAGCAGCCGCGGUAA
rnacentral:rRNA from 1 species